rnacentral:rRNA from 1 species
UACAGAGACUGCAAGCGUUAUUCGGAUUCACUGGGCGUAAAGGGUGCGCAGGCGGCCAAGUGUGUUAGGCGUGAAAGCCCGAGGCUUAACCUCGGAAUUGCACCUAAAACUACAUGGCUAGAGUACUGGGGAGGGUAACGGAAUUCACGGUGUAGCAGUGAAAUGCGUAGAUAUCGUGAGGAACACCAGAGGCGAAGGCGGUUACCUGGACAGUUACUGACGCUCAGGCACGAAAGCGUGGGGAGCAAAAGGG